UAUUAUUUAGAAUACUCUAGAUUAUCUAGCUAGUGGUGAAUUCUCUAGAAUAUUCAUAGCUUAUUCUCACCUAGAAUAUUCUAGAUAAAUGCAUCACACUUCAAUAGUUUUUACUAUAAUUGGUAAUUGGUAAUUUGGUACUACAUACAUAGAGAGAUCAAUUAAUGAAAAAAAAACUGAUUGUAAAACAGCAAUUUCCCUAAUUCAGUACCUAAAAUUAGGAGAAUAAUUACAUCUGCUCAAAUCCCAAUUGUUUUAACAAAAGAAUGGUUAAUGACAAUCUUGUGUAUAUCUUUCCAAAGUCCAAGCCAAGUAAAUAAUCAUAUACUCCUAACUUCAAGUUAGGAUAAAACUAGAAAAUUAAACCGAGCAAUAUUGCAUGAUAAUUACAAUGAACACCUAGUCAAAUUUCUCCCAAAAUAGUACAGUAAGAUAUUUCUAUGUUUAAGCUCAACUAAGAUUUUUACCAGAAUUCCUCUUUUUUGAGAAAAUUAUUAUAAACAGCUUCAAAAGGAUAAACAAAAAAGAGGUUUUCUGGUAGAGAACUUUCAAGAAAAAGAUAACAAUUUUAUCUACCAAAUCACAAUUUCCCAUUUAAUCUAAAUCUGAAUAACAAGAGGAAAAAAAAAAAUCGCACUCCUUUUAACCAAAAGGGGGAAAAUAUACCAAACUUGUCGAAAAAUUAUCCUUCAAAAAUAAUCGAGAAGCGAAGCAUAAUGUACCUAAAAACUUGCAUUUACUUCCAAAGUAGAAGAAUAAAUUCAGGGAUUUAAUUUAAUUUAUUUUUAUUUUCAAAAAAGGAAAAGGAAAAGAAGAAUUCACCAGGACUCGGCGGGCUUCCGACUCGGUGAGAACGGGUCGGGCGGUGAUCCGUUCAAAAAGAUCGCCGCCGCCGCAAUACUCCAAAACGACAUGCAGGAAGUCUUCGUCCUCGUACACAUCGAAAACUCCGACGACAUUCGGGUGGCCCGAGACGAGUUGCAUGAGCUUCGCCUCGUUUUGGAGGCAGAGGCUGUCGACGGCAUCGUCCUGGAUGAGGCGCUUGUCGAUCGACUUCACGGCGAAGCACUGGCCGGUGACGGCGGCGUGGCACCUCGAAACGACGCCGUAUCUGCCCCUCCCGAUCUGCUCGCCCACUGUGUAGUCUCUCUCUAGCUCUCCACUCAUUACUUUUUUUGUUUGUCUCUAGAAGAAUAGGAUAACAGUACGUACGGUGGGGUAUAUUUAUGAGAGAGAGAGAGUGGUAUGGUGUUGGAAUUUUUGGGGCGGAAUAUUCGGCUAAAUUGUGAAACCAUUUAUAUGAGCACACGUGUCCACGAGUUGACGGAGAGUUGACGGAGUUGCCUUCAGGUGUUUACUUGUUGCGAGUGUUGAAGUCUUGAAGAGAAACCAGGAAAUAGAUUAAUACUCUAAUUUUUUUUUCAGCAUGUGCGAUGUGCGGUGUGACUAUUUUUGGAGUUUUUAAUAUAUAGAAAAUUAAUUCAUAAGAUAAUUUCUGAUAUAUAGAGUAAUAUUAGAAGNCUCUCUCUAGCUCUCCACCUCACUUACUUUUUUUUGUUUGUUCUACUAGAAGAAUAGGAUAACAGUACGUACGGUGGGGUAUAUUUAUGAGAGAGAGAGAGUGGUAUGGUAGUUGGAAUUUUUGGGGCGGAAU
rnacentral:lncRNA from 1 species